rnacentral:rRNA from 1 species
GACGAACGCUGGCGGCGUGCUUAACACAUGCAAGUCGAGCGGAGCGGCGAACGGGUGAGUAACGCGUGAGUAACUGCCCCCCUCUCUGGGAUAACAGUUGGAAACGGCUGCUAAUACCGGCUAGUGGGGGAUGACUCGCGUCCAAUCAGCUUGUUGGUGGGGUAGUGGCCUUCCAAGGCGACGACGGGUAGCCGGCCUGAGAGGGCGACCCGCCACAUUGGGCUGGGACACGGGCCAAACUCCUACGGGGGGCAGUGGUGGGGAAUAGUGCACAAUGGGGGAAGCCCUGAUGCAGCAACGUCGGGUGCGAGAGGACGGCCUUCGGGUUGGAAACCGCUUUCAGCCAUGACGCGGUAGUGGCAGAAGAAGCACCGGCUAACUACGUGCCAGCAGCCGCGGUAAUUC